GGGAUUGACACGUUGCCACACUUGUCAGGGCACCCCGGCAACGCUAUGGAGAUCCCAGAAGUGGUUGCAGAUAGCGCCGCCACUUUGAAGGCGAUGAGAAUCAGGAGGAUGAAUGCUUCUUUCAUGGUUGGAAACUUGGUGGUUACUUCCUGCGGCGCUGUCUUUCUAACUUGCCAACUUAGGCAACGGUAUCCCAUUUUCCUUCGUUGCUAUCUGAUUGUGUACCCUAGGCUUGAUAGACCAUGGAUCCUCAGACUGGUGCUUAUGUAUGAGCUACUAUUUACAGUUGAUUUGUAUAAUUGUUGAUUAACUAUUUCAUGGGUGACAGCGGCGCACACUUAGGUGUGUUUGAGAAAAAUAAACUAUUUCGUGGGUGAGAUCAGCGUUGAAUGGGAUACUUCUACCUGAAUUUUGUAUUGUUUAAGUGUUCAAAGUUGGAAAACGCAGUGCUUAUUAAGAAACAGAAAUAUAGUUUGUUUAGUCCUUUGUAUUGACAAGUGUCUGAGAGUGAAAGAAAGUGAUACCAGAGUUGCUUAUAUUUUGGAUAAAUCUUGUCACCCAUUUGUAUUGUUUAGUAUUGAGAGUUGAAAAUCACAAUGCAUAUAAUAUUUUUGAUUAGUUCGCUCCCACGUUUCUAUUGAAGGUUUCUCUGAAAUUGAGUAAAGGAUGAUGGUUUAUAUGUUGUUCUGAUUAGUUCACUUAUAAUUUAGAAAAGUCUUCACCGGUUUAUAGGUUAUUCAUAUGCCAGUCAAAGUAUAGCUCGUAGUUUAAUGUCCCACAUGUGAAUGCAUGUCAUAUCUGUUUGGUCAGAUAGCGUAGUUUGGAACUUAUACAUAACAAACUAGAUGGAAGCACUAGUCGAUCAGCUUGAAAAGUCAAGAUAAGCUUAGCCAGCAAUAGUUUGAAGUGCAUAACUAGGCUGAAAUCUGAAAAUAUUUUGACUGUUCAACCGUUUAUCUCCGUUCACAGCUUUCACAGGCAUUAGGUUUUUUGCUGUUGUGGCAGGGAGAAACGAUGAUCCUUGCGCAGAUGCGCCAAAGUGAUACCCUGGAGGUUGCAUGCUGAAGCCCCCCUGGCCUGAAAAAAAUGGACUGUUUACACGCAUGCUGACGAGUGUGAGCCUAGCUUCAGUCCGGUUGGGACUUGGAAGCCGAAUAUGCAUGCAAGCAUCAGAACUGGUCCCAGACUAUCCUAUCUAGCUCCAAACAGGCCGAGUCUGAUUGCGUGGUAUGCUAAGGCGCAAUUUAUCUCAUAAAAGGAGAAGCAUGGGGCUCAGCAGUCAGCACACUCAACACAAUCGCCAAAUUAAGCAAGGGAUGGCGUGAGCCAUGCAUCUAACCUUGCAGAAGCAAACACCAGCUCUGGUUGUAAUGCUCUACCUGAAACUAAUUGUAGUCUUCCUGGUGAUGGCAUUGGCAAAACCUGCGGGUGGUGCCAUGUCCCUGGCGCUCCCAGGCUGCCCUGACAGGUGCGGUGAUGUGCCCAUCCCUUACCCCUUUGGCAUCGGCGCACAGUGUGCCGCGGUCAGCCUCAGCAGCUUCUUCAAUCUCGACUGCGAAAACACCUCCCACCCGCUGCGGCCGACGGUUGGGGGGCCAGCCGAUGUGGCCGUCAACGUUGCUGAUAUCUCGCUGGAGCGCGGAGAGAUGAGGGUGCUCAUCCCUGUCAGCUACAUCUGCUUCACAUCAAGUGCAACCGUAUCGGCGAGCAAUAACAACACCGUGGGGUUCGGCCUGGAGGACACGCCGUUCCUCCCAUCCCCUGGGCGCAACCGCUUUAUGGUUAUUGGCUGCAAUACUCUGGGUCUUGUUGGUGGUUUCCGUGGAGGCACGAGCCAGUACCUUGCUGGCUGCUACUCCUACUGCGAUGGUGCCAGUGGUGCAUCAGACGACGGAGCACCAUGCACUGGGACGGGCUGCUGUGAGGCAUCCAUCCCGACCAACCUCACCGCCUUCAAUGUGGCGUUUCCGAUUAACAGUAGCAGUGUGUGGGGAUUCAAUCCAUGCUUCUAUGCCAUGGUCGCUGAGGUCGGAUGGUACAGGUUCCAGCGUCGUGACCUCGCUGGCGAGCUUGGGUUCAUCAACAACAGGGCAAAGGACGGUGCACCUGUCAUCGUGAACUGGGCGGUUAGGAACGGAUCAUGCCUGGAGCAAAGAAACUAUGCAUGUGUCAGUGCAAACAGUUACUGCGAGAGUGCGAGCAAUGGACCUGGGUACUUGUGCCAUUGUUCCCCUGGUUACGAGGGUAACGCCUACCUGAACAACGGUUGUCAAGAUAUAGAUGAAUGCAUGCUGCGUGAGCAGGACCCCAAAUACGAAGAGUUGUAUCCUUGCAGGAACGGAGUCUGUCUUAACACUCCAGGAGGCUAUGAUUGUAAAUGCAAGAAAAGAACCAAGUCUGAUGGUACAAAGUUCGGAUGCCGACCUCUGUAUUCUCGAGAUGAACAGCUGUUGAUAGGCUUGAGCGUUUCUGCCGUUGUGAUAAUAUCCUUGGCAUGCUUUUUGGCUAUGCAAUUACAAAGAAAAAAGCACAGGAAGGAGAAAGACGAGUAUUUCAAACAAAAUGGAGGGCUCAUGUUAUAUGAUGAGAUGAGGUCAAGGCAGGUUGACACCGUCCGCAUACUCACAGAAAAGGAGAUCAAGAUAGCCACUGACAACUACAACGAAGAUCGAGUUCUUGGAUGCGGCGGCCAUGGAAUGGUCUACAAGGGUACUUUGGAUGACCUCAGAGAGGUUGCUAUAAAGAAGUCCAAAGUGAUUGAUGAUGAUUGCAGGGACGAGUUCGUAAAUGAGAUCAUAAUCUUGUCGCAGAUCAACCACCGGAACAUCGUGAGGUUAUUAGGCUGUUGCCUGGAUAUAGAUGUCCCAGUGUUGGUAUAUGAGUUCGUCUCCAAUGGGACACUAUAUGAGUUUCUUCAUGGUGGGCCUGAUCACAAUCUGUCACCAAUUCCACUUGAUCUCCGCCUGAAGAUCGCCACACAAUCAGCAGAAGCUCUUGCUUACCUGCACUCAUCGACAUCCCGCACAAUUUUGCACGGGGAUGUCAAAUCCGCCAACAUUCUGCUCGACGAUCAGCGCCACGCCAAGGUUGCAGACUUUGGAGCAUCGGCGCUCAAGUCCAUGGACGAAAGCGAGUUCAUCAUGCUCGUCCAGGGAACCCUCGGCUACCUCGACCCUGAGAGCUUCAUCAGCCAUGUCCUCACCGACAAGAGUGAUGUGUACAGCUUUGGUGUCGUUCUCCUCGAGCUGUUGACGAGGAAGAGGGCUCUGUAUGCCGAUAGGUCCUCCAAGGAGAAGAGAUCCUUGUCCCAUAGUUUCCUCCUGAUGUUCGACCAGAACAUGCACCUGAAGAUGCUCGACUCUGAGAUCGCAGAGGAUGCCGCCGCUAUGGUGGUCGUUGAGAAGCUCGCGGCCCUCGCCGUGCACUGCCUGAGCGUGAGAGGAGGCGACAGGCCGACGAUGAAGGAAGUCGCGGAGCGGCUGCAGGUGCUGUGGAGGAUCCAGAUGCGCCAGGCCGGUGAUGGUGACAAGGAUGAUGACUUCGGUGGAGGAUCCCUGUCGCCGGUGGUUCUUCCUUCGGCCGAGGUGACAGAUGGGAGCUUGGAGACGUGAGAACUGGCGCUGGGCGUUUAUGUUCUUGUAUCGUUCGUACUUUGUACGAACAGUUUGUGUGUUUGUGGGAUUUGUAUGGUGU
rnacentral:rRNA from 1 species